rnacentral:rRNA from 1 species
UACGUAGGUGGCAAGCGUUGUCCGGAUUUACUGGGCGUAAAGAGCGCGCAGGCGGUCGUUCAAGUCGCGUGUGAAAGCCCCCGGCUCAACUGGGGAGGGUCACGCGAUACUGAUCGACUGGAAGGCAGGAGAGGGUAGUGGAAUUCCGGGUGUAGUGGUGGAAUGCGUAGAGAUCCGGAGGAACACCAGCGGCGAAGGCGGCAUCCUGGACUGGUCCUGACACUCAGGAGCGAAAGCGUGGGGAGCGAUCCGG